rnacentral:lncRNA from 1 species
AAUUAGAAAUUUCAACGCAUCCUCACUUGGAGCACCAGAAAACCUAGGUGGAGCCAAUCUCAAGAAUAUACCUAGCAUCUUCUUCUCCUUAAUAGAAAUAGCAGGAUAGGAAACCACUGGCUAAACAGUUACUGAUUGAACAACUAUUAACGUAGGAGGGACCUUAACUCUGGGAGCCACAACUAUAGGUUGCUCCCCACCUUAGUACCACUUUGAUCUGAAAACUGUGCACCAUCAG